GACGAACGCUGGCGGCGUGCUUAACACAUGCAAGUCGAAUGGAAAGGCCCUGCAUUUGUGGGGUGCUCGAGUGGCGAACGGGUGAGUAACACGUGAGUAACCUGCCCUUGACUUUGGGAUAAUUUCAGGAAACUGGGGUUAAUACCGGCUAGGAGCUCCUGCUGCAUGGUGGGGGUUGGAAAGUUUCGGCGGUUGGGGAUGGACUCGCGGCUUAUCAGCUUGUUGGUGUGGUAGUGGCUUACCAAGGCUUUGACGGAUAGCCGGCCUGAGAGGGUGAACGGCCACAAUGGGACUGAGAUACGGCCCAGACGCCUACGGGAGACAGCAGGGGGGAGUAUGGCACAAUGGGCGGGAGCCUGAGGCAGCGACGCCGCGGGCGGGAUGACGGCCUUCGGGUUGUAAACCGCGUUCGCCUGUGACGAAGCGUGAUUGACGGUAAUAGGUAAAGAAGCACCGGCUAACUACGUG
rnacentral:rRNA from 1 species